CAGACACUUACCCUAACACCCAGCAUUGUGCUCUAGGUAUUUACCUAAGAAAAAUAAAACGUGUUUAUACAAAGACUUAUACAUGAAUAUUUAUAGCAGUUUUAUACAUAAUAGCCUACAAGUAGAAACAACUCAAAUGUCCAUCCAAAGACAAAUAACUAAAGUAUGGAAUAUUCAUACAGUAAAAUACUACUCAGCAAUCAAGAGGAAUGAGCCACUAACACAUUCAACAACAUCGAUGAAUGUCAAAAACGUCAUGUUGAGGAAAAGACCCCAGACAUAAAAGAAUAUAUUAUAUAUUAGUCCAUUUAUAUUAAACUCUAGAAAGCACAAAUCUAAUCUUUGAUCAUAGAAAAUAGAUCUGUGGUCAUCUAAAACUGGGGGUGUGAGGUCAGGAUUGACAGCAAAGGCUCACAAGCCUGACUUUUGGGGGUGGUGGGCAAGUUCUACAUCUUGAUUGUGACAGUAUUUACAAUCAACUGUCAAAACUCAUGGAGCUGUUCACUUAAAGUUGGUAAAUUAUAUUUUAUGUAAAUUUUUCCUUGAUAAAGUUUUUUUAAAUGAUCUCAAGGUGGAUUAAAGACUUAAACUGUAAAACUCCCAGGAGAAAACAUACAGAGGAUCCUUCAUUAUAUUGGUAUUGGCAGUGAUUUAUUGGAUAUGAUGCCAAAAGCACAGUACACAAAAACAAAAACAGAAUACAGCAACGGAACAAUUAACAGAGUGAAAAAGUAACCUGUGGAAUGGGAAAAUGGGAAUGCUGUUCUGCAUAGCAACGGAACAAUUGGCAGAGUGAAAAGUUUCUUGCAGCUUGGUGUGGUGGAUCUCACCUGUAAUCCCAGGACUUUGGGAGGCCGAGGCAAGAGGAUUGCUUGAGACCAGGAGAUGAAGACCAGCCUGGGCAACAUAAUGAGACCCUGUCUCCACAAAAAUAAAAUAAAAUAAAAUAAAG
rnacentral:lncRNA from 1 species